rnacentral:rRNA from 1 species
UACGGAGGAUCCAAGCGUUAUCCGGAUUUAUUGGGUUUAAAGGGUGCGUAGGUGGCCUGUUAAGUCAGGGGUGAAAGACGGUAGCUUAACUAUCGCAGUGCCCUUGAUACUGAUGGGCUUGAAUGAACUAGAGGUAGGCGGAAUGUGACAAGUAGCGGUGAAAUGCAUAGAUAUGUCACAGAACACCAAUUGCGAAGGCAGCUUACUAUGGUUUUAUUGACACUGAGGCACAAAAGCGUGGGGAUCAAACAGG